ACCCCGCGCGUGGUUCCCAGCAGAGGAAGAGGCAGGAGCGGAGGGUGCCGCCCAAAGCCGAGUGGAACGAGUCCAUCCGACCGGCGUGAACAUCCCAGGCGAGACAGCCUGCACCCCGCGACAUACGCUCCGGCGGGGUACCUUACGCGAACCGUUUCUCAGCCGCUCUGCAGAAUUGGUACUCGGCACACCAACUCCAAGCCUGAUCCCCUAGCCCCACUGUGCCCCCAACCCCGGUGUUUAAGGCAGGUGGUGCAAACGCCCCCGCCCUCGGGCGCCUCCUGCCGGGGAGAGGGAAGGCGGCGGGCGCUGAGCAGUCGGGCGCAGGGCGGGGAGAGAACUCCGGGGCCGGGAAGAAGCCGGGAGCUUCCCUGAUGGUGCCGCCGCCUCCGAGCCGGGGAGGAGCGGCGAAGGGGCAGCUAGGCAAGAGCCUGGGUCCGCUGCUGCUGCUCCUAGCUCUAGGACACACGUGGAGUUACCGAGAGGAGCCCGAGGACGGCGACAGAGAAAUCUGCUCGGAGAAUAAAAUCGCCACGACCAGAUACCCAUGUCUGAAGCCUUCAGGCGAGCUCACCACGUGCUUCAGGUAAGUCUCAAGGCUCGGCCGAGUCCGCCCCGCGCGCGAGGCUGGUUGGGGAGGCAGCGCCACGGAGGAGGGGUUUGGAGACACGCUUGGGGACCAGAGCCACGGUGGUGCUGGGACGUAUUGGCGAUUUCUUGGUGCAGCCCACCCCCCACCCCCCUUUUUUGCAUGUGGUUUCUGGGUCAGAGCAGCGAUGGGUUGACUGAGUGUCUGCUCCUGGAGUUUGUGCUCCAAGAUCCUGAGGGAGGUGCUUUACUGCUCCCUGGAAUACCUGCGAGGCGAAGGUUGGAAAAAAAAGGUUGUAAAUUUAUAAGGAAAGUGGAUCAGAUUGUGUAUUUAGAAAACAAAACGCAAAAGCAACCGUCUGUCUUUGCUGUGCUGCACUGUUUACAUCCAGAGUCGUCAACAAGGAAAUACUUGGCCCUUGGCUGUCUUUUUGACCUUCUGCCAGGACAGAGUGUAAUGCGCCGUCACGGUCUCUGUGGGCAGAAGGAUGGGGCAGGAUUGCGGGCAGUCGAUAGGGUUGUGUUAAGUGAAAACAGAGCGUCAAGAUUGUUGAGCUACAAAAACAGCCUUUCUGUAAACUCGAUCUUCAGAUCACCUGGGUGCUCAUUAAAACUAAGCAUGGAUGGGCUAAAGAAUCUGUAGUAUGAAAAAUGCUCAUAGGUGAUUCUUAUUCUCAACAAGGGGCAUCAAGGCUCCCUAUUUGCAACCUCUUAGAGGCAAGGGUUGAUUUGUCACAUAGGUUACUGUCCCAGUGCCUUCACUGGAAGGAGGCACGUGGGCACAAACACUUCUGAGGUGCAACCUACCGAGAUCACGCACUCCACCUAACUUCAUCUCUGUCUCAGGGAAUUGUGCAUUGCCCUGGGUACCGAGAUAAGUAUCAAGUUGUACAAGAUAAUAGCAAUCCUCAAAAGUGAACUCAGUAAGAGAGGAAAGAUGUAACAGAUGAAACUUAAGGGUUUCAGCUGUAAGCAGUUUCAUAUGCACAAAGGUUCAGGUGUAAGUGGUUCUAGGGCUGGUCAGUUUAGAGGUACAAAGGCACAUUUUGACCAUGCUUUAUGAAACCUGUUGGCAGAGGAAUGACUAAUCAUUUAAGCCACAGCUACGUGGCUUGAGAAAAGGACUGCCCUCUCUUGAGACGUGGGUGGUGGAACACCAGGCGGGAACAGGUGAGUUAGGGAGUAGGGUUCAGUUGGCAGGUGUAAAGAUGUAGGUUAACUAGGUGAGCAAGGUUGCUUAGCUUGGGACCUGGCCUGGUGGUAUCAACUCCGGGACUUUGCCUGGUUCCAGCCUUGUGUUUCAUCUACACUAUUUCUUGGAACACUUUUUUUUUUCUUAUGACCACAGCAUAAAACCUCUACUUUAAAAUGGAAAAUGACCCUGAGAUUGUUUGCUCAUUUAUUUGGUCCCUGAAGGUCAGACUGCUUGUAAGUCAGUGACAGUUACAAAAUGCAUGUCCGAUUUUCAUGAAACCAUUGGUGCCUGCCUGAUUAGUGUUCUAAGCUGAUUGCAUUCGUUACGCUGUUACUGUUUUUUUUUUCCCCCCAGACUUAAAAUAACUUUUCUCUACUAAGACAACAGGAGACAAUAGCCAUGUCUUGAUUUUUCAUUAACAGCAACCCGGAGAAACAGUUUAUAGAGCUAAGGAAAAAGAUACCUCUAGGAGAAAAGGGCUUUGUUUUGGAGACAGAGGAAUGGCAGAAUGGUUUCAGCUGAAGAGAAUGGUAAUGGUCCCUGUGAAUAGAGUCCUAUUCAUUUUCCUUUGAGUUCUAUGUGUACUUCAUUGGUUUUACACAGCUUCUAUAACCUUGCAACUUUCUAAAGGUUGGUUGGCAGUCGCUGCCCCCAUUUUGAACCCCAAAAAUGGAAGAACUUUGUGUGUUCGUUGGUUUGUGAAUUCUAAUUAUCCUGGUCCUGUAGACCCUUGCCACUUCCAGUGCGGUCUGGAAAUGGGCACAGGCAUCAUGUGGGAGCCUGUAUUGUCUUAUGCCCCUGCCCAGACCUCCUGAAUCAGAACCUGCACGUUAAUGAGAUGUGCAUUAAAGCUUGAAGCGCUGCUGUAGAAACCAGUGUCCUCAGUGAGGGUCAUGGUGCAAACCAAACCUGUUGUGACAGAUUCUCAGGAGCUCAGAGGCCUCUACAGCUGAGCGGGUAGUUAGCCCUUACUACCAUAUUAAUGUAAAACCAGACAAAGAACCAGCCUUCCAGGAAAACCAGACUCUUCAAUUGUUCGAUGACCUUUAAUAAAGCUGUAAGUAAGUGGCAGAGCUGCUGUUCGGGGAAUGCUAUCUGACUGCAUAGAAUUUGGCUUGUCCUGAUGUCUUCUGGCAAAUGGCCUUUUCACACAAGAGAAUGAAUGUCCAAAGUCACUCUUGAAGUGUGGAAAGUAAUCUUUUAACCCUGAUUUAAAACAAAACAAAACAAACAACUUGUUGUGGAGGAUGCGUUUAAUACUAAAAAUGAAUAUGGCAGGUGCAGGUAAUCUGAAUCUACCACUAUUCCUAAAAGUAUAUGGAGACUUAAGUGAUAGGGAAAAGAGAUGAGUUCAAAAUAAUCAUUGUUCUGUGCCCCCCCACACCUCUGUACACUUGUUUUUCAUGGUUUUAUCUAAGCGACAUCUUUUCACUUUAGCCUUAUAUUAAAUGACAGUUUAAGGACUGACUGUCCAGCACCCCUCUAUGCACUUUACUUAAAUGUAGCUCUAAUCCUCAAAGCCACUCUGUAGCAUUUGUGUUGUCUCAGUUUUACAGAGGGAACUGAAACUCGGGGAUUAAGUCAACUUGCUCAGGGUCAUAAAGUUAAUACAUGGUGAGAGCCAAGAUUCAAACCCAGAUUUGUCUGACUUCAAAGCCUGGGCCCUUUCAUCAUCUCAGAGGUGUCUACAGAUGAGACUGAGCUUUCUAGAUCCUGGGAUCUAAAUAAGGAAGAAGACUAUAAACUUAGAUGGCUAUAAACUCGAAAGAAGCAGUUAGAUAACGCUAACAUCCACUGUAACCAUAGUUAUGGUUUUCUGAAUUAUCAUUGCCCUUGAGAUGGUCUCAAAUAAUUGACUUUUUUUUUUUGUCUUGAGGGCUGCGCUUGAAGCAUAUGGAGGUUCCCAGGCUAGGGAUCUAAUUGGCGCUGUUGCUGCCGGCCUACACCAUAGCCACUGCAACGCUAGAUCUGAGCCACAUCUGUGACCUACACCACAGCUCAUGGCAAUGCCAGAUCCUUAACCCACUGAGUAAGGCCAGGGAUUGAACCUGUGACCUCAUGGUUCCUAGUUGGGAUUCGUUUCCACUAUGCCACGAUGGGAACUCCAAUUAACUGACUUUAUAUUGUACACUGGUGGUUGAUAGGUAUGACUUUUCUUCCUUGCAGGAUUUCAGCUCAAUCACAUGCUCUGUGUUUGUACAAACUCUUCCCAAAUGUGCCCUGAGCCAAGUACCUGGAGUUUAUGGAACACUGAAUGCGAGGGGCAUCUUGAGCUCAAGGACAUACUUGCUCAGUGUUAUAGUGUGGCAUAGUGUAUGUUCUUUUACCAGCAGUUAGGACUUCGGAGUUUGUGUGAUUUAUCUAGGUUCUAAAUUUAUUCUAGUGGAACUCAGUACCUAAAGUUAAUGGUAUUUACCCCUCUUGUGGCUGUUUUUUCCUACAAGUUAACUUUUUCCCUCCUUUUGAAUACCAUGAAGUUUAAACAAAGGGUUUAUUUAUUUUCCUUUUCCUUCACUGAGUCUCAUAUCAAUAAAAUGACAAAGGCUUUUUAAAAAUAUGGAGUUCCCGUUGUAGCUCAGUGGUUAAUGAAUCCAACAAGGAACCAUGAGGUUGUGGGUUCGAUCCCUGGCCUUGCUCAGUGGGUUAAGGAGCCAGGGAGCUGUGGUAUAGGCCACAGAUGUGGCUCAGAUCCUGCGUGGCUCUGGUGUAGGCCGGCGGCUACAGCUCCAAUUAGACCCCUAGCCUGGGAACCUCCAUAUGCCUUGAGAGCGGCCCUAGAUAAAC
rnacentral:lncRNA from 1 species